rnacentral:rRNA from 1 species
CACGUAGGGCGCAAGCGUUGUCCGGAAUUAUUGGGCGUAAAGAGCUCGUAGGCGGUCUGUUGCGUCUGCUGUGAAAACUCGGGGCUUAACCCCGAGCCUGCAGUGGAUACGGGCAGACUAGAGGUAGGUAGGGGAGAAUGGAAUUCCCGGUGUAGCGGUGAAAUGCGCAGAUAUCAGGAGGAACACCGAUGGCGAAGGCAGGUCUCUGAGCAUUAACUGACGCUGAGGAGCGAAAGCAUGGGGAGCGAACAGG